UACGUAGGGUGCAAGCGUUGUCCGGAAUUAUUGGGCGUAAAGAGCUCGUAGGCGGUUUGUCGCGUCUGCUGUGAAAACCCGAGGCUCAACCUCGGGCCUGCAGUGGGUACGGGCAGACUAGAGUGCGGUAGGGGAGAUUGGAAUUCCUGGUGUAGCGGUGGAAUGCGCAGAUAUCAGGAGGAACACCUGUGGCGAAGGCGGUUCUCUGGGCCUUACCUGACACUGAGGAGCGAAAGCGUGGGGAGCAAACAGG
rnacentral:rRNA from 1 species